GAUGGCAAGUGAUGAAUUGAUUAUUAUGCUUAAAAACGCAGAAUAAAUAGUGUUUGACAAACAAUCUCCGCUUAUUAUCUGAUGCCAUA